rnacentral:rRNA from 1 species
AGAGAGGAGCUUGCUCUUCUUGGAUGAGUUGCGAACGGGUGAGUAACGCGUAGGUAACCUGCCUUGUAGCGGGGGAUAACUAUUGGAAACGAUAGCUAAUACCGCAUAACGAUGGAUGACACAUGUCAUUUAUUUGAAAGGGGCAAUUGCUCCACUACAAGAUGGACCUGCGUUGUAUUAGCUAGUAGGUGAGGUAAUGGCUCACCUAGGCGACGAUACAUAGCCGACCUGAGAGGGUGAUCGGCCACACUGGGACUGAGACACGGCCCAGACUCCUACGGGAGGCAGCAGUAGGGAAUCUUCGGCAAUGGGGGCAACCCUGACCGAGCAACGCCGCGUGAGUGAAGAAGGUUUUCGGAUCGUAAAGCUCUGUUGUAAGUCAAGAACGGGUGUGAGAGUGGAAAGUUGACACUGUGACGGUAGCUUACCAGAAAGGGACGGCUAACUACGUGCCAGCAGCCGCGGUAAUACGUAGGUCCCGAGCGUUGUCCGGAUUUAUUGGGCGUAAAGCGAGCGCAGGCGGUUUGAUAAGUCUGAAGUUAAAGGCUGUGGCUCAACCAUAGUUCGCUUUGGAAACUGUCAAACUUGAGUGCAGAAGGGGAGAGUGGAAUUCCAUGUGUAGCGGUGAAAUGCGUAGAUAUAUGGAGGAACACCGGUGGCGAAAGCGGCUCUCUGGUCUGUAACUGACGCUGAGGCUCGAAAGCGUGGGGAGCGAACAGGAUUAGAUAC